rnacentral:lncRNA from 1 species
AUAGUCUUCAUCAAGAUCCUUAUUAUUUCUUGCUAUUUGUGAACCUCCCUGCUUUCAAGUCCUCUUCAAUUGUUUCUUCAGGCCAGACAUUCCAUAUGAGAAGGACUGAGAGUUCAAGGAUGCUGCAAUUAACGGCCUGGACAGAGGAUGGGGACAUGAAUAAUGGUAGAGUCCAGCAUUAGCACAACACUCCAUUCAUCACUGCUGAAGGGCAAAUGCAUAACCCUCAAAAUGAUCCUGGAAAGAGGAAAAGGGAGAGGAAUUGCAAGUUCCAUGGAACAGUGAUUUACCAUGCAGCAGAGGAUGUGAGCAUCUCCGAAAUAGAAGGGUCCACAUAUUUUGAACUUUAACAUAUAUAAUGAUACUUAUAAUGUGACUGUUACGGGCAGCUGAUUUUUCAUACAAUUGACAUGUGAGUAUUUUCCAGGCAGGCAUCUUAUUUCCUGUGUAUGUGCCCCCUAUUUAUGCAGGACCAUCAACAGGACCAACAUUGAGUAGAAAUCAGUCACAGCAAACCACUUUCCUUUUUAUUUCAUGUACUCUGUACCCUCCUUUAAUGGCAACAUAAUUGCAUCAUAUCAUUGGUUUGUAGUGUGGAGGCUGUGGGUCUGAUUUUUAGUUUCCCAAUCCGUGCAGAAUAUUCAGAAGAAUAGAGGGUUGGAGACCUCUAGUUCAGGUCAAAAUCAGUGUGAAAGGCUUGACUUUGGAAAGGGUAAAGAGAGUUCAAUUUAAACUGAGUCUCCAGCUAGGGGCAGGGAGAGGAAAGAGGAGUUAGUCUCCCACAAGAGGAGACUAGCAUAAUCUUUGUGCCCUAAUUAGGCAUCCUUGGGCUUAGGGAAUUACUAGGGGAUACGGGAGUGUAAUGCAGGAAAACCAAGGCAGAAGUCAUGUCCGAGAGUCUGGAUCAAUCCUUCAGGGCAGGGGGUGGAGCAAGGGAAGAAAGGGGAGCUGUGCCAAGGGGUCUACCAGUGGGCCCAGGGCAGAUCCCAAGUCCAUAAGCAAUAGGAUCAGGUCCAGGUACCACCUUCUUGAAAUCUGAGGCUGCUGCUGUACUUCCUGCCCCUGCUACCUUGGGCCUGGGGCUGUAAAUGUCAUCAGAUAGUCCACCUGGAAGGGCCUGUGGAAAGCAAAAUCAGAGAAACAAGGCAGGAGCUGGCCACUUGUGAAAUUUUUCCUGGAAACUCUGUCAUGGAAUCAUGUUUUAGAUACCAGAAGGAAGGGCUGCUCUGACUAACUGACCAUGAAUCGGAGAAGAGGCCUGCGAUGAUCUAGGCAGUGGGUUAUGGGAGAGGAAUGGAAAACUGCAGAAUGGAUUCUCCAGCCCAUUCAGCGCUCAUACUACAUGGGCAUGUUCACAGACCUGCAGGCUUUGCCUUUGUCUGUCUCCCUGCUUUUGGAAGGGAUGGCACAGCUUUGCCCCCUUUCCUGGAGGCACAGUAGUCUGACUUGAGUCUUUCGCUGUCUUCUGUAUCCAACUCAUUCAUGAAAUUAUAUGAGAUAAUUUCCAAAUAAGUGACUUUUUUGGCUUAUUUGCCCAAUUGACUUAAUUAUUGCCGGUUUAUUCUUCUUGUUUUGGAUUCCUUGAGCUGAGAGAGUGAAAAAGGGAGUUUAUUUAAGAAGAUAAGGACAGAUUAGGUUUUCAAUUUGGUGGUAUGAUGCAGUCUGCUUUCUUAACUCUAUUAUGACCUAUUUAGUGUUUGUUUUUCUCUUAUUGUGGAAGUAACAUAUGCUGAUUAUAGAGAUAUAGAAAAAGAUAAAAAGUAUCCAUUUCAAUUGACCAAUAAUGUCCUCUCAGCAAUUUGGUGUAUAUCAUGUAUUUUUAAAUAAACAGAUUGCUUUGUAAAUACACUUUAUAUCUUACUGUUGUAACAUUAAAAAAAAGGUGGUUAAAAUGGCGAGCAAGUGCAGAACAGCAGCACUUGGAAAGUAAGCUGGGGAUGGCAAAAGCCUCAAUUUCUGUUUCCACAAAGCACUCUGUUCUCUUUGUUGAUCACUGAGACCCAGAAGCUACCAUCUCCAGUGGAACUGGAACCUUUGUUUUUCUUGAUCUCUGCAUCGUGUGGCUCAGCCCCGGUUGGAACUGAAGCUUGGAAUAAAGCCACAGUGAGCUGGGUCACACUGUUUCUUAGACUUCCCCCCACAGUACCUUGUUUGGAGAGAAUUAUAACUGAAAGGGAAAAAAUUCCCUCUGGCAAGAAACUUGGCUUAGAAAUGCUCAUUUGGAGAAGCUUAUUAUUAUUAUUAUUUUUUGGUUUUGCUGUUUAAAUAAGGUCACUGCUAUAAAUCAAUGUUUGUGAGUGUUAGAGAAGACCAAGUAAAUAAAUAAAGCCCUACGUAUUUAUUGUAAACAGAAACACCCUAGAGGUUCUCCAGGGGAAGAGAGAGUGAGAGAAAGGUCACCAUUUCUUGCAUACAGAAAAUUAACUGUUUCAUUAGUUUAGAUAGAAACACAUUUUUUCUUUAAAAUUAGUUAUGAGGAAAAUAUUUCCAAGUUUGUGCCUCUUAUUAGGUGUAUGAAGUAUCAAAAAUAUUAAGUACAACUAACAGCAUUAGGACUUGUUCUCACCUCAACUCCAUCAUCUGAAUAAAACCACUGAAAAAGAGAAAAACAGCUCCUGACGUAAGGAAACUGGCCUGAUAUUUACAUCUAGUUCAUAGUGUUUGCCUGUUGGACACAAAUGAUCUCAUAGAACAUCAACAACAGACCAAGGCACUCUGACUAUAAUGGAGUGAGAGAAAAAACAAGUGAGACAAGACAACUUCAAAAUUUUGUCUAAGCACAGGCAAAACCAAAUGACCCAAAUACCAGACAUCCUCCUCUCUUGGCUAACAUGAGUGACUAUCAAAGCUUUAGCCUCUAUGUGUUCCUCUUGACUUAUAGAGAAGAUUCAUUAGGAUACUGAUAUGGUUUGGCUCUGUAUCCUCACCCAAAUCUCAUCUUGUAGCUCCCAGAAUUCCCACGUGUUAUGGGAGGGACCCAGUGGGAGAUAAUUGAGUCAUGAGGGCGGGUCUUUCCUGUGCUGUUCUCGUGAUAAUAAAUAAGUCUCAUGAGAUCUGAAGGUUUUAAAAAUGGGAGUUUCCCUGCACAAGUUCUCUUCUCUUGUCUGCUGCCAUGUGAGAUGUGCCUUUCACCUUCUGCUGUGAUUGUGAGGCCUUCCCAGCCACAUGGAACUGUAAGUCCAAU